rnacentral:piRNA from 1 species
GAAAAUGAAAUGUGCCAC